rnacentral:rRNA from 1 species
AGUGAACGCUGGCGGUAGGCCUAACACAUGCAAGUCGAACGGCAGCACAGGAGAGCUUGCUCUCUGGGUGGCGAGUGGCGGACGGGUGAGGAAUACAUCGGAAUCUACUUUUUCGUGGGGGAUAACGUAGGGAAACUUACGCUAAUACCGCAUACGACCUACGGGUGAAAGCAGGGGACCUUCGGGCCUUUCGCGAUUGAAUGAGCCGAUGUCGGAUUAGCUAGUUGGCGGGGUAAAGGCGCACCAAGGCGACGAUCCGUAGCUGGUCUGAGAGGAUGAUCAGCCACACUGGAACUGAGACACGGUCCAGACUCCUACGGGAGGCAGCAGUGGGGAAUAUUGGACAAUGGGCGCAAGCCUGAUCCAGCCAUACCGCGUGGGUGAAGAAGGCCUUCGGGUUGUAAAGCCCUUUUGUUGGGAAAGAAAUCCAGCUGGCUAAUACCCGGUUGGGAUGACGGUACCCAAAGAAUAAGCACCGGCUAACUUCGUGCCAGCAGCCGCCGUAA